GGAGGAGAUGAAAUCCAGCAACGAAGGGGAAGAUUUGAAGUCUCAUGUUUAUGGGACAUUACAUAGUCGGAUGUCCCCUUCAUCCAUAGUUCAAGUUAUUGAAAAAUGUUCAGAAAAUCAGUUGAAAGCUAUUAGAGCAAUAGGAUUCGGGUCUAUGGAGUUCUUGAAGAGAUAAGAGAGUGAUUCAGCAAUGGAAGAAGCAAUUCAAAAGCAACUCACCCUCUAUCAAAAUAGGGGAGCCGAAAGAGUUUCUGAAAGAGCAUAACUCAGCUGGUCUUAUGUUCAAAAGGAACUUUGUAGUGCUAUGCGUUUCUACAUUGAUGGAUGGGAAACAAAAUGUGAAUAUCAAUUCUGAUAUUCUCACAUUUCUUUCUGAUGCUGAUAAAAUAAAGGACUUGAAUUGGUGCAAGUAUAUCCUUGAUUCACUUGUGAAGGCCAAGCUUUUCUGGGAAGAACGUCAAACUCGUUUUUUUCCUGGGUCUUUACUGUUUCUUAUGGUAUUACUUUAAUUUUUGUUGUUUUUUUAAUGUAGUAUUUUUUACUUAUUUGUUGAUUUUUAAUUUACUAAUUAUU